CAAAAUUAUAUUCCGCCGACCCUAAUUUUGUAAAAAGCCCGAAAAGGAGAGUGACAGUCCUCUCCAUGCCAGUGGUCUUACCAACGGCACAGGAGACAGAAACGUGGAACAACGGAAACAGCUAACUGCUGUGCUGUGCUCCCCUUGGUUCCUCCAAUUCUGAGGCCAACCACCUCCAAAGCAAGCUUUGGUGAUUCAAAAAAAAAAAAAAGCAAGCUUUGGAAAUUUCUCUUCUCUGCCAAAGUCUGACAAGAUUGCUUCCGCUUCCUCUCAUCAGUAUCACUAUGCUUCUCCAUUUACCUUCCUAUACACCCUUCUCUUUGAAAUUUAAUAUGCAGGCAUACACAAGUGGAAGAAAUUUUCUGGGGAUUUUCAUUAGGGAUUUUGUUCAAUCGCCGAGCAGAGGAAGAUGGAUAAUUCCUUUUCGACCUUAUGUAAAGUUUGUACGAACGAAAUGCCGUAUCUCAGUUCCUGGGAAUGAAAAAAAUGAGCCUUCAAGCUGCUUGAGGGACAAGAAGAUGGUUCCUUAUUCAGACCCUCCCACCAAUACGGAUGUGAAUCUUUUGUAUCAAUUUUUUGAUCGUAGCACUAACCUUGUGGUAUUGACUGGAGCUGGAAUUAGUACAGAGUGUGGAAUUCCUGAUUACAGAAGCCCAAAUGGAGCUUACAGUUCUGGUUUCAAACCAAUUACUCAUCAGGAAUUUCUUCGUUCAAGUCGGGCCCGCAGGCGGUAUUGGGCUAGGAGCUAUGCUGGAUGGAGACGGUUUACUGCUGCACAGCCUGGUGCAGCUCAUUUUGCUUUAGCAUCACUAGAAAAAGCUGGCCGGAUCAAUUUUAUGGUCACUCAAAAUGUUGAUAGACUACAUCAUCGUGCUGGGAGUAAUCCACUUGAAUUACAUGGAACUGUCUAUUCUGUCAUUUGUCUAGACUGUGGUUCUUCCUUUAGUCGGAGCUUAUUUCAGGACCAGCUGAAGGCCCUUAAUCCAAAGUGGGCUGCAGCAAUUGAAAGCUUGGGUUAUGGAAGUCCUGGAUCAGACAAAAGCUUUGGCAUGAAGCAGAGGCCAGAUGGCGAUAUAGAGAUUGAUGAGAAAUUCUGGGCGGAAGAUUUCCACAUACCUACCUGCCAAAAGUGCAAUGGAAUGCUAAAACCUGAUGUUGUUUUCUUUGGUGAUAAUGUUCCAAAGGAUAGAGCAGACAAGGCAAUGGAGGCUGCAAAAGGAUGUGAUGCAUUCCUUGUUCUGGGAUCAUCUCUAAUGACCAUGUCUGCAUUUCGACUUGUUAGUUAAAGGUGAUGAAGCUUUUGAAAUUGAAUGUCACAGGGCUGCUCAAGAGGCAGGUGCUGCUACGGCAAUUGUAAAUGUAGGAGUGAGUAGAGCUGACAAUUUAGUGCCGUUGAGAAUUAAUGCCCGGUUGGGGGAGAUACUGCCUAGAGUGAUUGAUAUCGGAUCCCUCAGCAUCCCUGCCCUCUAGAUAUGAUAUUAGAAACCAGAUGAGGAUUUCAAAUGAAGGAUGCAACUGUAGCCAUUACACAGUAAUUGCGUUUCUUUCAUGUUAUAUUUAUGAAAGCUGAAAAGCGUACUAAAGCGAUUGACCAUUUUUAAAUGUAUGAUCUGAUUUUUUUUCCCUCAAUUUGUUGCCUGUUUAGACUUGAUUAACCAAUUAUAGACAGACAUACGGGCUCUGUUAAGAAUUAUAUUUAAACUAGUCGUUGUUCAGAUAUCAAAAUAUUUUAUAUUAUUAUUUUAUAAAAUAAUAUGUUUUUUUAGCA